AAUCGCGCAUCAGCCAUGGCGCGGUGAAUACGUUCCCGGGCCUUGUACACACCGCCCGUCAAGCCAUGGAAGCUGGGGGUGCCUGAAGUUCGUGACCGGAAGGAGCGACCUAGGGCAAAACCGGUGACUGGGGCUAAGUCGUAACAAGGUAGC
rnacentral:rRNA from 1 species